rnacentral:rRNA from 1 species
UACGUAGGGAGCGAGCGUUGUCCGGAUUCAUUGGGCGUAAAGAGCUCGUAGGCGGCUUGGCAAGUCGGGUGUGAAAACUCCAGGCUCAACCUGGGGACGCCACCCGAUACUGCCAUGGCUAGAGUCCGGUAGGGGACCACGGAAUUCCUGGUGUAGCGGUGAAAUGCGCAGAUAUCAGGAGGAACACCGGUGGCGAAGGCGGUGGUCUGGGCCGGAACUGACGCUGAGGAGCGAAAGCGUGGGGAGCGAACAGG